rnacentral:rRNA from 1 species
UUUCCGGUUGAUCCUGCCGGACCUUGACUGCUAUCGGAUUGAUACUAAGCCAUGCGAGUCAUUGUAGUAAUACAAGGCACGACGGCUCAGUAACGCGUACUCAACCUAACCUAUGGACGGGAAUAACCUCGAGGAAACUUGAGUAUAAUGCCCGAUAGAACAUUAUGCCUGGAAAUGGUUUAUAGUUACCACAAAUGAUUUAUCGCCGUAGAUGGGACUAGCGGCCUAUCAGUUUGUUAGGUGAGGUAAAUGGCCCACCAAGACUAUUACAGCGUAACGGGCUCUGAGACGAGUAGCCCGGGAGAUGGGUACUGAGACACGGCACCCAGGCACCUAUACGGGCGCAGCACGCGAGAAAAACUUUGGCAAUAGUAGCGAAAGCAACGACAAGGUUAAUACCGAAGUGGUUUCUGCUAAAGGAACCUUUAAGUCGGUCCUAGAAACACCGAAUGAAUAAGGGGUGGGCAAGUUCUAGGUGUACAGACCGCACCCGGUAAAACCAGCACCUCAAGUGGU